rnacentral:rRNA from 1 species
AGAGUUUGAUCAUGGCUCAGAUUGAACGCUGGCGGUAGGCUUAACACAUGCAAGUCGUGCGAGAAAGUACCUUCGGGUGCGAGUAGAGCGGCGGACGGGUGAGUAACGCGUAGGAAUCUACCUAGUAGAAGGGGAUAGCCCGGGGAAACUCGGAUUAAUACCGUAUACCUCCUUAGGGAGAAAGAGGGCUUAGCUUUGAUGCUCUCGCUAUUAGAUGAGCCUGCGUAAGAUUAGCUUGUUGGUGAGGUAAUGGCUCACCAAGGCGACGAUCUUUAGCUGGUCUGAGAGGACGAUCAGCCACAUUGGGACUGAGACACGGCCCAGACUCCUACGGGAGGCAGCAGUGGGGAAUAUUGGACAAUGGGCGCAAGCCUGAUCCAGCCAUACCGCGUGUGUGAAGAAGGCUUUCGGGUUGUAAAGCACUUUAAGUAAGGAGGAAAAGAUUGUAGUUAAUACCUGCAAUCCGUGACGUUACUUACAGAAUAAGGACCGGCUAAUUCCGUGCCAGCAGCCGCGGUAAUACGGAAGGUCCAAGCGUUAAUCGGAAUUACUGGGCGUAAAGCGCGCGUAGGUGGUUUUUUAAGUUGGAUGUGAAAGCCCUGGGCUCAACCUAGGAACUGCAUCCAAAACUAGAUGACUAGAGUACGAAAGAGGGAAGUAGAAUUCACAGUGUAGCGGUGGAAUGCGUAGAUAUUGUGAAGAAUACCAAUGGCGAAGGCAGCUUCCUGGUUCUGUACUGACACUGAGGUGCGAAAGCGUGGGUAGCGAACAGGAUUAGAUACCCUGGUAGUCCACGCCGUAAACGAUGACAACUAGCUGUUGGGAGACAAGAUCUCUCAGUGGCGCAGCUAACGCUUUAAGUUGUCCGCCUGGGGAGUACGGCCGCAAGGUUAAAACUCAAAUGAAUUGACGGGGACCCGCACAAGCGGUGGAGCAUGUGGUUUAAUUCGAUGCAACGCGAAAAACCUUACCUACUCUUGACAUACUUGGAAGCUCUUGUAAUGAGAGUGUGCUUU